UAUUUAUUUAUUUUUUAUUUAUAAAAGGCCUACAUUAGAUGAAGGUAAACUAAAUAUUUCAUUUUUUAUCAAGUGUUUUUAUUUUGAUUGAUGUAAUUUUUAAAUGAUUUUUUUUAGUUUGACAUUUGUAUGACUUAAUUAUUAGAUUACCAUUAAACUCACCCAGUUUGGGAAAACUUGACACAAUGCAAUGCUUAAUUCACUUUAUGUUGUUCAUAACAACGAAUGGAAUAUAUUUUCUUGGUAUUUUAAUAUCAAUAUGGAACCAUAUUAUCCUGUUUAAAUCAGUGUCCCUUAAAGUAAUCUAAAAGUAGUCUGACAAUGUUACCUAAAAUGUAUAAUUGAAAUGUAACAAUUUGUAAGUAAUGUACCCAGCUCUGAUAGCCCCCAUUGAUGGAUCAUACACAGACAUAACUUAAGAUAAUAUCUAAAUAUUUUAUACUUUAUUAUAGUUAUUCUCAGUGGUGCUGUCAUUGUUAUGCUGUGCUUACAUAAUCGUUUAUAUAUAAUAUCAUCUUAUAAAGAUAUUACAUAAAUUAUCUUCCAGGUAUCACAUCAAUGUAAUAGCUGUGUUUGGCAGCAGGCCUGCAGACAUUAUGUGUGUGAUCGGUCCUUCUGUUGGGCCGUGCUGCUUUACUCUGGAGCAAGACUCGGCCCGAGAGUGUCACGCCAUACACCCAAGACUGUGUUAGACAUAUGGACUCAUCUAGACCUUAUGUCGACAUCAGACUCGCAACCAGUGGAGAAUUGUCAUUUAGAGUCCUGCUGGAGAGAGGUUGAGUUAAACCCAAACACAUGGAGGACAUCAGGAUCCCACAGCAAUCAGAGUCUACUCUCUGCACCUCCUGCCGUCCUGAACUAUUCUUCUCUCAUGUGAGAGAUGGACUCAACUUUGGGACACAAAUUGGCUUUGUGUGGAUCAAAUAAUCCUGCAUUCACUUAUGGAGAAGAAUCUAAAUGGCAGUAGCUACAUAAAUAUAUUAAUAUAAUAAAUAAAUUAGUAUGGAAUGAUCUCACAUUGGACACAUACUGAAAUACACAUUUUCAGCUGGUUAGUUCAUAAAUCUGACUCCACAGGAUGGAAGAAUUAUACAUACAUACAAAAAAAUACACUUGUAAUUAAUAGUAGGAGGUGGAAAUUCCUUAUUUUGACUUUAAAAUUGACCUGAAAGCUUACUGCUGGCCGGUGUCAGCGUUUUCAAGAUUUUGAGGUGAAUGAAUUUUGACAGUUUAAUCUACAUUAAUAUUUAAAUAGUAUUUCCAAAUUGUUCAGUUUGAAAAAAAAAUGAUAGUCCUACAUCCCAGGAAGAUUUCCACAUUACAUUUUGAAUUGCUAAAUGUGAAUUGUUAAAACUGAAUUAUAAUAAUGUUUUGAAAACCUUUUUCAAAGAUGUCAACACACUAUUGGAAGAAAUAAAGAAACCUUGCUAAAAUACAUAAUUCAGGAACUGUCUACGUCGUGAUUUGUGUGCUUGUUUGUUUUUUAAUUAGAUGUUUUUAAUUACACGAUCUUUUUUAACUCUGUUUGAGGGGUUAAAAUACAGUCGACAAUGAAUGUACACAAGGGGGAGCUAAUGCUAAUCUUGUUAGCGUGACCGUUCACAUUAUAAUCACGAACUAUUCAUGUUUGCUAUAACUGCACUAACAGAGUCAUAAAUCAUAUCACAAAGAAAACGGCUGCUUAUUUUGUCAUGUCAAGCCGAAGAUAUCAAGCUUUUUAGUGGGAUCAUCAUAUUUUUGUAUUGUAGCCUAAUACAUUUAAUAAAACCAGCCUAUGUGUAAAACGCGUACAUUUGCUUGUUUAACGUUAUGCAAUAUGAGUAAACGUGUUUAAUAUCUCUAAAUUCUUCACCUCUGUCUCCGUCUGUUUAAAGAGGGCACUAGAGGGCGAGCUUGUUUGUUUCGUGAGAGACGCUGAUUGUUGGCUGCUGUUCAAGCGCCCUUCAGCAGCAUCACAAGGCAAGCUUUUGUCUUCAACAGCACUUUUGCAAUGUCACAAAAACAUCUCGGCAUUUCCUUAUUACGUGCUUUUGAAAUUAACACAACAUUUGCCUAUCAUUAAAGGAAGGCACUAGAUGUCCCAGAGUGACGUGAUGUUUUGAAGAAAGACGCUUAAUUAUUAGCAUUAUACUGUCUACUCAAACAGCAGCGUUUUUCUUUCAAGUCAAGUGAGUGUUUUCACUAGUGACAGAAUGACGGGUAAACCAUACCACAGUCAAUACCUCAAUCUGCUGACCUACUAAAGCAGCACACAUAGUCCUCCUCUGCUAGCAUACUAUAUUAUACUAUAGGCAGUGUUGGGAAGGUUACUCUGGACAUGUAAUAGAUUACCCUAUCUAAAAUGUAAUAUAGUUUAACUAUUUUAAUUAGGGCCUUAUUACCUACAUUUGAUUAUUUGUUAUAACUUUUCUAAAUCUCUAAUGUUGUAAUCACAUCCAAACAUUUAAAGCCUGCGGGGUUAACACGUUAGGGUAGCAAUGAACACGAAUUACUGUCACUUUCGAAAUCCUUCAUCACCUGAAUUGAGAUUAUAAUAAUUACAUUUUAAAGCACUGCCACCACAAAAUCAGACGUACUUUGAGAUCAUUCCGAGGUUAAAUACAGAUUUAAAACCAUAACAAGAAAUAGUUUAGCUAUGAUACUGUUUAAAAAAAAAAAAAUCUUUAUAGUUAUAACAGGAAUCUAAUCAGAAUUAGUUAAUCCUAAAAUAUAAAGCAUAUACAUAAACCCAAAUAGGAAAUAAA
ensembl:lncRNA